rnacentral:rRNA from 1 species
CGCGUAGGUGGCUUGGCGCGCGUGCGGUGAAAGCCCGGGGCUUAACCCCGGGUCUGCCGUGCGGACGGCCAGGCUAGGGCACUGUAGAGGCAGGUAGAAUUCCGGGUGUAGCGGUGGAAUGCGUAGAGAUCCGGAAGAAUACCGGUGGCGAAGGCGGCCUGCUGGGCAGUUGCCGACACUGAGGCGCGACAGCGUGGGGAGCAAACA